rnacentral:rRNA from 1 species
AGCGAACGCUGGCGGCAUGCCUAACACAUGCAAGUCGAACGAGACCUUCGGGUCUAGUGGCGCACGGGUGCGUAACGCGUGGGAAUCUGCCCUUGGGUGCGGAAUAACAGUUAGAAAUGACUGCUAAUACCGCAUAAUGACUCCGGUCCAAAGAUUUAUCGCCCAGGGAUGAGCCCGCGUAGGAUUAGCUUGUUGGUGAGGUAAAAGCUCACCAAGGCGACGAUCCUUAGCUGGUCUGAGAGGAUGAUCAGCCACACUGGGACUGAGACACGGCCCAGACUCCUACGGGAGGCAGCAGUGGGGAAUAUUGGACAAUGGGCGAAAGCCUGAUCCAGCAAUGCCGCGUGAGUGAUGAAGGCCUUAGGGUUGUAAAGCUCUUUUACCCGGGAUGAUAAUGACAGUACCGGGAGAAUAAGCCCCGGCUAACUCCGUGCCAGCCGCCGCAGUAAGAC